AGAGAAUAGAUACCCCGGGUAGUCCACGCCGUAAACGAUGAUGACUAGCUGUCGGGGCUCUUGGAGUUUCGGUGGCGCAGCUAACGCGUUAAGUCAUCCGCCUGGGGAGUACGGCCGCAAGGUUAAAACUCAAAGAAAUUGACGGGGGCCUGCACAAGCGGUGGAGCAUGUGGUUUAAUUCGAAGCAACGCGCAGAACCUUACCAGCGUUUGACAUGGUAGGACGGUUUCCAGAGAUGGAUUCCUUCCCUUACGGGACCUACACACAGGUGCUGCAUGGCUGUCGUCAGCUCGUGUCGUGACGAUGUUGGGUUAAGUCCCGUCAACGUAGUCGCAACCCUCGUCUCUAGUUGCUACCAUUUAGUUGGGCACUCUAGAGAAACUGCC
rnacentral:rRNA from 1 species